rnacentral:rRNA from 1 species
UACGAAGGGGGCUAGCGUUGCUCGGAAUCACUGGGCGUAAAGGGUGCGUAGGCGGGUCUUUAAGUCAGGGGUGAAAUCCUGGAGCUCAACUCCAGAACUGCCUUUGAUACUGGGGAUCUCGAGUCCGGAAGAGGUGAGUGGAACUCCGAGUGUAGAGGUGAAAUUCGUAGAUAUUCGGAAGAACACCAGUGGCGAAGGCGGCUCACUGGUCCGGUACUGACGCUGAGGUGCGAAAGCGUGGGGAGCAAACAGG